CCUACGGGUGGCAGCAGUGAGGAAUAUUGGUCAAUGGGCGAGAGCCUGAACCAGCCAAGUCGCGUGAAGGAUGACGGCCCUACGGGUUGUAAACUUCUUUUGUCAGGGAGCAAUUGAGUCCACGUGUGGGCUUAGCGAGAGUACCUGAAGAAAAAGCAUCGGCUAACUCCGUGCCAGCAGCCGCGGUAAUACGGAGGAUGCGAGCGUUAUCCGGAUUUAUUGGGUUUAAAGGGUGCGUAGGCGGAAUAUCAAGUCAGCGGUAAAAAUUCGGGGCUCAACCGUGGAAUUGCAGUUGAAACUGGAGGCCUUGAGUGCACACAGGGAUGCCGGAAUUCAUGGUGUAGCGGUGAAAUGCUUAGAUAUCAUGAAGAACUCCGAUCGCGAAGGCAAGUGUCCGGGGUGCAACUGACGCUGAGGCUCGAAAGUGCGGGUAUCAAACAGGAUUAGAUACCCCAGUAGUC
rnacentral:rRNA from 1 species